AGCGGCGGACGGGUGAGUAAUGCCUGGGAAUAUGCCCUGAUGUGGGGGAUAACUAUUGGAAACGAUAGCUAAUACCGCAUAAUCUCUUCGGAGCAAAGAGGGGGACCUUCGGGCCUCUCGCGUCAGGAUUAGCCCAGGUGGGAUUAGCUUGUUGGUGAGGUAAUGGCUCACCAAGGCAACGAUCCCUAGCUGGUCUGAGAGGAUGAUCAGCCACACUGGAACUGAGACACGGUCCAGACUCCUACGGGAGGCAGCAGUGGGGAAUAUUGCACAAUGGGGGAAACCCUGAUGCAGCCAUGCCGCGUGUGUGAAGAAGGCCUUCGGGUUGUAAAGCACUUUCAGUAGGGAGGAAGGUAGUGUAGUUAACACCCGCAUUAUUUGACGUUACCUACAGAAGAAGCACCGGCUAACUCCGUGCCAGCAGCCGCGGUAAUACGGAGGGUGCGAGCGUUAAUCGGAAUUACUGGGCGUAAAGCGCAUGCAGGCGGCCUGUUAAGUCAGAUGUGAAAGCCCGGGGCUUAACCUCGGAAUUGCAUUUGAAACUGGCAGG
rnacentral:rRNA from 1 species